UACGUAGGGACCGAGCGUUGUCCGGAAUCAUUGGGCGUAAAGAGCGUGUAGGCGGCCACUUAAGUCCUGCGUGAAAUCUUGCGGCUCAACCGCAAGCGGUCGUGGGAAACUGGGUGGCUAGAGUGCGGGAGAGGAGAGUGGAAUUCCUGGUGUAGCGGUGGAAUGUGCAGAUAUCAGGAAGAACACCCGUGGCGAAGGCGGCUCUCUGGAACGCAACUGACGCUGAGACGCGAAAGCGUGGGGAGCAAACAGG
rnacentral:rRNA from 1 species